UACAGAGGUCCCAAGCGUUGUUCGGAUUCACUGGGCGUAAAGGGCGUGUAGGCGGUCUGUUAAGUCUGAUGUGAAAGCCCGGGGCUCACCCCCGGAAGUGCAUUGGAUACUGGCGGACUCGAGUCUCGGAGAGGAGGGUGGAAUUCCUGGUGUAGCGGUGAAAUGCGUAGAUAUCAGGAGGAACACCGGUGGCGAAGGCGGCCCUCUGGACGAUGACUGACGCUGAGACGCGAAAGCGUGGGGAGCAAACAGG
rnacentral:rRNA from 1 species